rnacentral:misc_RNA from 1 species
GGAAGUAAAGUCGUAACAAGGUCUCCGUUGGUGAACCAGCGGAGGGAUCAUUACCGAGUUUACAACUCCCAAACCCAAUGUGAACGUUACCAAACUGUUGCCUCGGCGGGGUCACGCCCCGGGUGCGUCGCAGCCCCGGAACCAGGCGCCCGCCGGAGGGACCAACCAAACUCUUUCUGUAGUCCCCUCGCGGACGUUAUUUUUACAGCUCUGAACAAAAAUUCAAAAUGAAUCAAAACUUUCAACAACGGAUCUCUUGGUUCUG